GCCAGUGUGGCGUAGUGGUUUGAGUGUUAGACUGCAAUUCUGGAGACUAGGGUUUGAUUCCCAGCUUGGCCA
rnacentral:tRNA from 1 species